rnacentral:rRNA from 1 species
AGCAGUCGCCGCGGUAAUACAGAGGAUGCAAGCGUUAUCCGGAAUGAUUGGGCGUAAAGCGUCUGUAGGUGGCUUUUCAAGUCCGCCGUCAAAUCCCAGGGCUCAACCCUGGACAGGCGGUGGAAACUACCAAGCUGGAGUACGGUAGGGGCAGAGGGAAUUUCCGGUGAGCGGUGAAAUGCGUUGAGAUCGGAAGGAACACCUGUGGCGAAAGCGGCUCACUGGACCAUUACUGACGCUGAGGCGCGAAAGCUAGGGGAGCAAACAGGAUUAGAUACCCCCGUAGUCCCUGUCUCUUAUACC